GAUCCUGGCUCAGGAUGAACGCUAGCUACAGGCUUAACACAUGCAAGUCGAGGGGAAACGAUAUUGGAAGCUUGCUUCCGAUAGGCGUCGACCGGCGCACGGGUGAGUAACGCGUAUCCAACCUGCCCACCACUUGGGGAUAACCUUGCGAAAGUAAGACUAAUACCCAAAUGAUAUCUCUAGAAGACAUCUGAAAGAGAUUAAAGAUUCAUCGGUGAUGGACGGGGAUGCGUCUGAUUAG
rnacentral:rRNA from 1 species